rnacentral:rRNA from 1 species
GACGAACGCUGGCGGCGUGCUUAACACAUGCAAGUCGAACGGUGAAGCCCCUUCGGGGGUGGAUCAGUGGCGAACGGGUGAGUAACACGUGGGCAAUCUGCCCUGCACUCUGGGACAAGCCCUGGAAACGGGGUCUAAUACCGGAUAUGACCACUUCGGGCAUCCGUGGUGGUGGAAAGCUCCGGCGGUGCAGGAUGAGCCCGCGGCCUAUCAGCUUGUUGGUGGGGUGAUGGCCUACCAAGGCGACGACGGGUAGCCGGCCUGAGAGGGCGACCGGCCACACUGGGACUGAGACACGGCCCAGACUCCUACGGGAGGCAGCAGUGGGGAAUAUUGCACAAUGGGCGAAAGCCUGAUGCAGCGACGCCGCGUGAGGGAUGACGGCCUUCGGGUUGUAAACCUCUUUCAGCAGGGAAGAAGCGUGAGUGACGGUACCUAACCAGAAAGCCACGGCUAACUACGUGCCAGCCGCCGCCGUAAUAC